rnacentral:tRNA from 1 species
CAUAAAAUUAGUUAAUUCUAAUAACAUUAGUUUGUCAAACUAAAAUAAUCUUUUUGAUAUUUUUU